rnacentral:misc_RNA from 1 species
GUGAAUCAUCGAAUCUUUGAACGCAAAUUGCACUCUCUGGGAUUCCGGAGAGUAUGCCUGUUUGAGGGUCAGUUUAUAUAAAAAUCGGUGUGGUUGCUGCCUUCCGUGGUGGCUCUCCGGAUUUAGGUCGUCUUGCCUUCGGUUAAGUGACCUAAAAGUUUGCUUGUUUUUUUUCGAACGUAUUUAAAUGUUUUUUCGUACGUUUGCGAUAUAGAAUACUAGGUGUGGUCAUCCUCU